rnacentral:tRNA from 1 species
UCCCCAGUGGCGCAAUUGGUUAGCGCACGGUACUUAUGUGGCAGUCGCCGUGAGCAAUGCUGAGGUUGUGAGUUCGAGUCUCACCUGGGGAA